rnacentral:rRNA from 1 species
UUUGGAUAUUCAUAAGCGGAGGAAAAGAAACUAACUAGGAUUCCAUUAGUAACGGCGAGUGAACCGGGAUGAGCUCAAAUUUAAAAUCGGGCGUCUUUCAGGCGUCCGAGUUGUAAUCUAUAGAGGCGUUUUCCGCGCCGGACCGCGUCCAAGUCUCUUGGAAUAGAGUAUCAAAGAGGGUGACAAUCCCGUACUUGACGCGACAACCGGUGCUCUGUGAUACGUUCUCAAUGAGUCGAGUUGUUUGGGAAUGCAGCUCUAAAUGGGUGGUAAAUUCCAUCUAAGGCUAAAUAUUGGCGAGAGACCGAUAGCGAACAAGUACCGUGAGGGAAAGAUGAAAAGCACUUUGGAAAGAGAGUUAAACAGCACGUGAAAUUGUUAAAAGGGAAACGAUUGAAGUCAGUCGUGUGAAAGGUAUUCAGCCGUCUCAGGCGGUGUAUUUGCCUUUCACGGGUCAACAUCAGUUUGAUCCGGUAGAAAAAGGCAGGAGGAAGGUGGCACCCUCGGGUGUGUUAUAGCCUCUUGUCAUAUGUGCCGGACCAGACUGAGGAACGCAGCUUGCCGCAAGGCCGGGGUUCGCCCACGUACAAGCUUAGGAA